UACGUAGGGGGCAAGCGUUGUCCGGAAUCAUUGGGCGUAAAGCGCGUGUAGGCGGUUCGGUAAGUCUGCUGUGAAAGUCCAGGGCUCAACCCUGGGAUGCCGGUGGAUACUGUCGGACUAGAGUACGGAAGAGGCGAGUGGAAUUCCCGGUGUAGCGGUGAAAUGCGUAGAUAUCUGGAGGAACACCGGUGGCGAAGGCGGCAUCCUGGACCAAAACUGACGCUGAAUAGCGAAAGCCAGGGGAGCAAACGGG
rnacentral:rRNA from 1 species